rfam:Sorex araneus cont1.189717, whole genome shotgun sequence.
UGUCCCGCUGCGUCAGCCCCUCUCGGCCCAACACUGGGGAAACGGAGCAGCUCAAUAAAAACUUUUGAUAUUAGUUUUUAUGAGUAUUUACACUCUAUUCAGCGGGGUUGAAUAUGGAAGCUCCACUACUCAGCCCCUAACCUUGGGUUUGGAUGCUCAGUUUAU